rnacentral:rRNA from 1 species
UACGUAGGGUGCGAGCGUUAAUCGGAAUUACUGGGCGUAAAGCGUGCGCAGGCGGUUUUGUAAGCCAGAUGUGAAAUCCCCGGGCUUAACCUGGGAAUGGCAUUUGGGACUGCAAGGCUUGAGUGCGGCAGAGGAGACUGGAAUUCCUGGUGUAGCAGUGAAAUGCGUAGAUAUCAGGAGGAACACCGAUGGCGAAGGCAGGUCUCUGGGCUGACACUGACGCUCAUGCACGAAAGCAUGGGGAGCAAACAGG